UACAGAGGUCUCAAGCGUUGUUCGGAUUCAUUGGGCGUAAAGGGCAUGCAGGCGGUCGGACGCGUUUCGGGUGACAGCGGGUGGCUUAACUACCCGAGUGGUCGAAAGACGGUUUGACUUGAGGACGCGAGAGGGACACGGAAUUCCGGGUGGAGUGGUGAAAUGCGUAGAGAUCCGGAGGAAUACCGGUGGCGAAGGCGGCAUCCUGGACCGGCAUUGACGCUGAGGAGCGAAAGCUAGGGGAGCAAACGGG
rnacentral:rRNA from 1 species